AUUUUUUUAACCUGAGUUCCUUCCUCAGGAAAGGGCCCCCGGGCCUCUCAAAAAGUAUCAAAGAACUGAAACUCACCAGAUCACUGCAGCCAGACAAUGAGAGCCAGGCUCCUCAUUUUGCCUCCUUACCCCUACCGAAUUCAUGUUUUCCUACACAAUAUUACAUUUCUUCCCUGCUAUAUAAACUCUUAAUUUUAGUUGAUUAGGGAGAUGGAUUUGAGACCAAUCUCCCAUGUCCUUGGCUGCAGGACCUAAUUAAAUCCUUCUUCCCUGGCAGUACUCGUCUAGCUUUACUGUAUGGUGAGCAGCAGGACCUAGUCUAAACCCCUGGUGUUUUGGUAACAGAUUUUGCUUCCCUGACUGGGAACGCAUUGCUAGUGGAUCUGCUGCUAUGGGCCAGGAGUCUCAGAAGCCCUCCUAAGCAGCUGACCGCUCAAUUUUGGAUAGAAGUGUGUUUCCCUCUCUCUGGCCCUGCCACUACCGGCCCCAACCAUGUUCCUGAUUGCCUCAGAAGAACCAGCCUUUGAAAUUUGACAUCUGCCCAGAUAGGUUUCAUUUCAACCCCAUGUUUUGGGAACUGUUUGGAACAGACUAAUCAGCUCUAAAUUCUGGAAUCUUCCACCUUCUUUAUCUUCAAAGGGAUGGUUACAUAUUCUGGCUAAGAGUUACUUUGGACCAACUGAAAACAGAAGAGAUGAUACGUCAUCAUGAGCUCCUGAGGUCCUGGGAGGAUUCCAGAUUCUCUUCCUCAGUACACACUCAAAACAUCCCAAGGGAGGCCAUUACAUUAAUGCCUUCAGCUUUCCGCACAGCCCAUAUUGCUUUGGUGGACGCUUUGAAAUGUCUGGUCGUUAUAACUCAGUCACUCAAGACACCUCACUUAAAAAUUCUAGUUAUGGAAUAAUUGUGAUGCCAUAGGAAGAAAAUUAAGCAAGCUGUCUACUCUUGGGAAAUGUUAACAAAUGCCUGUGCAUACUGUGAAGAGUCCACGGGGAAGAAAAUGAGCCACACAAGAUGGUCCCACCUAUAUUUAUUAUACACUGAUCACUAUGAAGACAUAAAGAUUUGUUAAAAGUGGCCUUUGAAGAGCAUGUAAUUGUGUCCAGAAUUGGCGGGUUCUUGGUCUCACUGACUUCAAGAAUGAAGCCGCAGACCCUCACGGCUAAGACAUCCAAGGUCAAAGGGCCUACAUCUGGUGAAGGUCUUGCUGCUUUAUCCCAUGGUGGAAGGCAGAUGGGUUCACAGAAAAUAGAAAUUCUUUACACAGUCUUCUGAUCAAUAGAAUCAAAGCCCUUUUUCUGUAAAUACUGGCUAGAGAGUUGCUAACUUCCAUAAUGGAGAAAUGGAAAAAGCAGUUUCUUUCUCCAAUAAAACCACAAAAGCCAUGGUUUUAAAAGAAACUAUAGAGGAUUUCUUGUGUGGAGUCCUUAGCUUUGUGACUGCUGAGAUUUAAGACAUAGGAAAUCAUGACUUCCUCGUGGCAGCCUCAUGAUUCUGAGAUCACAGCACGUGCAUUUGGUACAGCCAGCAGAGGUGGUGGUGUCUUCUCGAAUUCCUGACCUUCUUUCCAUGGCAGAAGAAGCAACCCUUUUGCUAACUGAGGUCUAUGGUGGUGUUCCUGGAAUCUCCAUCUCUAACCUAUUUACCUAAUCCUUCCAAAAAUCUUAUAUUGAAUCUUUUCAUGUUUAAAUUAUUUAGAAUGGUUUGUGGUAUCUGUAAACACUGACCAAUGCUUCCCACAAUAAAAUCAGCAGUAUGGAAAGAAAGAAAGCAGAUGGUUAAAUAGUUUCUAACAUAAUUGCUAAAAAUACAGUUUGUAUGUGGGCUUGGUUAAGGAUCUGUUAAGCUGCAGCUAGAUGCUUUGGCACUUAUGUCUUGUCCACAUAGUAACAAUAUACUCAUUGAUUACUACAUCUUAGAUUUAUAGCUACUUAAUAAUAUAACUUAUUGGAGCAACACAUCUGGGCAAGAGAAAUUUCUUCUUAGUCCUCUUUUGUUUUACAUUCCAAGCUAUACAUACGGUCAUACUUCAUUUUAUUAUGUAUUGCAGAUAUUGCAUUGUUUACAAAUUGAAGAUGUGUGGUGACCCCGCGACAAGCAAGUCUACCAAAGCCACUUUUCAGCAGCAUCUUCUCACUUCCUGUCUCUGUUUCAAUUAUGAGAACAGAUGUAGAGAUUAGAAUCGGCAAAGGGAAAAGGCCCAUGGGAUGAAGGCCAGAAGAAAUCAAGCUACAAGUUUUUCUCUCCAGUGGAGUCCCAUGAGGAUGCACACAACUCUCCCAGCAGCAAUGUGGGACAACACAUGCAAAGUAUUGGCCAUCAGGGAAGCUCCCCCCAGCUUUGGUCACCAGGGUUUUUUAUUGGUUGUCAGUCAUGCACACAUUCAGUGCUUCUGUGACUGACCUCACCCACCAGACUGUAACCUCAAGAGCAAAAUCAGAUUUUUUUAGUGUGCAAAAUGUCUUUCUCAAUAUUGAAAAUCCAUAUGAGUACAUGGACAAUUUCACAUACCAUGUGGACUUGCGAAAUAUUACCUAAUUUAGAGGGUUUGAAAGCUCAGAAGUUGUGUCCGGAGUUGUUUCCUUCCGGUGGGUUCAUAGUCUCACUGACUUCAAGAAUGGAGCCACGGACCUUCACGAUAAGUCAUUCCACUUCUUCUGAGGGAGUGAAGAAAGAGGCCAAGUUCAGAAUUGUACCAAUUGACUACCUUGACCUGGACAUAAGCACCAGAAUGGUUGCACUCAACAACAAAGACUGUACUGGGAAUAGAAAGAUGAACAAGACAGUGCACUUCCCUUCAAAGAGCUUACAGAAUCACAACCAGCAGGAAGAUAAAAAGCAGAUGGAAUAGCAAUAACAACAACUAAAGGACAGAAAAACCUAGCAACCACAAGGCAAGAGCAAGAUAAAAAUAAGAAUAAUAAAAGAUAAAUGCACGAAUUCCUAAACACCUUCCUCCUCUUCUCUCAGGAGUUCCAAUGCCUGAAUAGGAAAAUAACAGACAUCCCAGAAGAAUACUGAACAAUGCAUACAAAUAAGUACAUCGCUGAAGAAGCAAACUGCCCAAUAAAGUCUUCAAUCUCUGUGGUGGUAAGAAUGAUCAGGGAAAUAAUAAGAAAAUAACAUUUUCACGGAUUUUGGAGAGUAGAAUGUAGACAUCUUUGAGGACCAUUCUUCUGCCUACCAUGCCAUGUAACUCUGAUUUGUAGCCACGGAUGGAAGACAAUAUAAAGCAUUACUUAUUGCCACUUAAAUUGGACUCAGACAAAUAAAAUAAAAAUGAUCUGGUGACAUCAGGAGAAAGACAUAACUUUUAUACGCUUUAUAAAUUGCUCAUUAGUAAUAUAUGUGUACUUCCUCUUGCAUGAGGAAAUAAAAUCUUCUCUUUAACUUCAUCUCCUCUUUAAUAUGUUGUCAAUAGUUUCCUGUUAGAUAUAUAGGAUAUAAUAUUAACUGAGGAAAAAUAGUCCGUUGAGAAGAAAAUUGGUGGUGAUGGGAGAAACUUUAAAUACCAAUUUUGGUAUUCCAGAAUUGUGCACACAAUGUGAAUUGAACCUUUCCAUUUUAUUGCUUGAGUCGGUGAUCAUCACCCUUUUCUAUGCCUCUGACCACUGUCUCAUUUGAGGCAUCUGAUAAAUUUCUUAAAUGCCAGCACCUGGGCACAGGAAACCUCACUGAGAUGCCUAAGCUUUAAAGUGACAAUCCAAAGGUAAAGGUGAUACCAAAAAGGUGAUGAAUCCACUUAUUAGGAAUGCAGACCCAUUAUAAUUAUAUUAUGAUGCAAAUAUAGUUGCUCUGAGUAGUCUUAUCCUUCAAAAUUCAAAACAGCACAGUAUGACAGUUAAACAUUAUAGGAGAGAGGAAUAACUACACUAUAAUGAAAGCAAUCAAUGAUUAGAAUCUGCAUAUUUGCAUGCAAAAUGAGUGAAUACAAAUGUACAGUAGGAAAAGAGGGAGAAAAUAUUUCAAAAUUCCAAAUACAGGGAACAAAAAUUAUUUAUAUAAAAACAGUAAAAACUGUGAUAUCUCAUAAUUAGCUUAUAAAUUUUUUCUUUCUGAUUCUCAUUUUAUAUUCAAAUACAACUUUCUGGAAGCCCAAACAAUGAAUCCAUAGAUAAUUGCUAUGCCAGAUGUGAACAUACAAGACUAAUACAGAAAACACCCAAGGAAAACAGAUUUUUAAAAUAACGUCUACUUUAGAAAUUACUUUGUUCAUGAAUCCUUUCCUAACCCUCCAAGUCUGUGUUAAUUGAUCCUCAUAUAUAAAUCUGUCAGUCUGUUUUUUUUUUUUUUUCUUUUUGAGACGGAGGAGUCUCGCUCUUUCGCCCAGGCUGGAGUGCAGUGGCGCUAUCUCGGCUCCCUGCAAGCUCCGCCUCCCGGGUUCACG
rnacentral:lncRNA from 10 species